rnacentral:sRNA from 1 species
CACGUACAGUGGCCUGGAGCAGGAGCUGGGCACCUUAAGAGAGACGCUGGAGUACCUGCUGCACCUCGGUUCUCCCCAGGACAGAGUGUCUGCUCAGCAGCAGCUGUGGAUGGUGGAAGACACGCUGGCAGGUCUGGGUGGCCCCCAGAAACCGCCCCCACACACUGAGCCUGACUCCCCAUCUCCCGUGCUCCAGGGCGAGGAGUCCUCAGAGAGGGAGAGCCUGCCAGAGUCCUUGGAACUGAGCUCCCCUAGGUCCCCCGAGACUGACUGGGGGCGGCCUCCUGGAGGCGACAAAGACCUCGCCAGCCCUCACUUAGGUGAGCAUCCUGGUUGGGUGGGACUUUACGGAAAUUCCCGUCCUCACCAAGUCCCGUUCUGUCUUUCCAGGUCUUGGGUCUCCGAGGGUCUCCCGGGCUUCCAGCCCUGAGGGUCGCCACCUCCCUUCCCCACAGCUGGGAACCAAGGUAAGCUGUAGGUCCAUCCUGUAAUCCUUGCAUCUGACCAUCAGGGACCCCCACACUUCUGGGAAACAGCUAGGAGUAGAGCGUUCUAAGGCCAUACUCAGAGCAGAGAGAGCACUGCUUGUUAAGAGCAUUGAGAUUGAUUUUUGUCUCUGUCGCUUCUAAGCUGUGUGACUUUGG